rnacentral:rRNA from 1 species
AGCAGCCGCGGUAAUUCCAGCUCCAAUAGCGUACAUUAAAGUUGUUGCAGUUAAAAAGCUCGUAGUUGAAUUUCGGGGUUAGUAGGUUGGUCGUGCCACUGGUAUGUACUGGUUCUACUGAUCCCUCCUUCUUGUAGAACCGUAAUGCCAUUCACUUGGUGUUGCGGGGAAACAGGACUGUUACUUUGAAAAAAUUAGAGUGUUUAAAGCAGGCUAACGCUUGAAUACAUUAGCAUGGAAUAAUGAAAUAGGACGUUCGAUCCUAUUUUGUUGGUUUCUAGGAUUGACGUAAUGAUUAAUAGGGAUAGUUGGGGGCAUUAGUAUUCAAUUGUCAGAGGUGAAAUUCUUGGAUUUAUUGAAGACUGACUACUGCGAAAGCAUUUGCCAAGGAUGUUUUCAUUAAUCAAGAACGAAAGUUAGGGGAUCGAAGACGAUCAGAUACCGUCGUAGUCUUAACCAUAAACUAUGCCGACUAGGGAUCGGAUGAUGUUAAUUUUUUAAUGACUCAUUCGGCGCCUUA